GACGAAGGAUGCAAGCGUUAUCCGGAUUCAUUGGGUUUAAAGGGUGCGUAGGCGGACCUGUAAGUCAGUGGUGAAAUCUCUCAGCUUAACUGAGAAACUGCCAUUGAUACUGCAAGUCUAGAGUAUAGAUGACGUUGGCGGAAUAUGACAUGUAGUGGUGAAAUACUUAGAUAUGACAUAGAACACCAAUUGCGAAGGCAGCUUACUACACAGUAAUUGACACUGAGGCACGAAAGCGUGGGGAUCAAACAGG
rnacentral:rRNA from 1 species